GCGCCGGACCCCCAGCGCGGAAGCUCGCCCACGGAGGUCGCGACGGAAGUCUGGACCGCCGAGGCGUGUGGCUCGCCUACCGGCAGAUGUUCCUUUGAUGCAUGAUAGUGACUCUGCUCUUCUGCCUGAGAGUGUUUCAAAAUCCGGCCCCUGCGAGAUAUAGAGGACACCUCCUGUUUUCCACUUGGCCUGGAGAUCACUGAUUUAUAGUGCAGAGGUACUGGAGGCACCCGAAC